UGAUGUUUAAGAGUUAAUGGUGUUAUCAGUGUGAGGAUGUAGAGAUGGAGACCAGUGUAACCUCAGAUGGUGGAACAUGGAGUUUUGAGCGAGACGUCGACACUGCAGAGCCUGGAGGAUUCCUGAGGAAGCUCAUCAAAAAAGAGGAACCUGAUGAUGAAGCUUCAUUCUACGGAGGAUCUUCAGGCUCGGUGGAGAACAUCACCCCUGUGAUCCAACAGAAAGACGAACCUUUGAUAAAACCUGAAAAAGAGGAAGGAC